rnacentral:rRNA from 1 species
CUACGUGCCAGCAGCCGCGGUAAUACGGAGGAUGCGAGCGUUAUCCGGAUUUAUUGGGUUUAAAGGGAGCGCAGGCGGGAGUGUAAGUCAGCUGUUAAAUAUCAGGGCCCAACUCUGUUAUGCAGUUGAAACUGUAUUUCUUGAGUACGCACAGGGAUGGCGGAAUUCAGGGUGUAGCGGUGAAAUGCUUAGAUAUCCUGAAGAACUCCGAUCGCGAAGGCAGCCAUCCGGAGCGUAACUGACGCUGAGGCUCGAAGGUGCGGGUAUCGAACAGGAUUAGAUACCCUGGUAGUCCGCACGGUAAACGAUGAAUACUCGCAGUUCGGCCUUUAUGGUCGAGUUGUCCAGCGAAAGCGUUAAGUAUUCCACCUGGGGAGUACGCCGGCAACGGUGAAACUCAAAGGAAUUGACGGGGGCCCGCACAAGCGGAGGAACAUGUGGUUUAAUUCGAUGAUACGCGAGGAACCUUACCCGGGCUUGAAC